AAUAACAAUUAUGGCACAAUCUGACCCUCCUAACACUUCUGAACAAAGCAACUGCUCAGAAGCACAGCGGGAACCCUCUACACAGGGGUGACUGCUUCUCCCCUGGCCCCGACCCAGUCUAACCGAGAACAACCGGAUUGCUGUGCUGGGUCCCUGCUGAGGAGUAGGGACUGGCGCUCCUCACUCCUGCUGACAAUCUCAUGUGGGGCUCUGGCCCUGUUCCAAGCAAACUGCAAGAACGAGACCAAACAGUAUGGGCAGGAACCAGGGAUGAGUGACAAGAUCUCCCUAAACAAAUUACAGGAUUCAUAGGUACCAUGUAGAUUUUUCUUUUAAAUGUAUUUCUACUCAGGUUUGAUUCUUGGGAAAGACCAAGCACUUGUAGCUCUCUAUUCAGUGACUAAACAACCUGACAUUUCACUUUUAACUCCAGUCACAUUAAGUUUUUUUUUUUUUUUUGAGACGGAGUUUCGCUCUGUCGCCCAGGCUGGAGUGCAGUGGUGCGACCUCGGCUCACUGCAACCUCUGCCUCCCGGGUUCAAGUGAUUCUCCUUCCUCAGCCUCCUGAGUAGCUGGGACUACAGGCACAUGUCACCACGCCC
rnacentral:lncRNA from 1 species